rnacentral:rRNA from 1 species
UUAUAAGACGAGAAGACCCCAUGGAGCUUUAAACCCAAUUACAUCCUUAUAUUUAAAAUCUUCAUAGCUUUUAAGGUAUUGUAUAUUCGGUUUUAGGUUGGGGUGACCGCGGAGCAUAAAUAAGCCUCCACGAUGAAUGGAAUUAUUUUCCUUAUCUAAGAACUACAUUUCUAAGAAUUAAUAUUUUAACAUAUAAUGAUCCAAUAUUUGAUCAACGAACCAAGUUACCCUGGGGAUAACAGCGCAAUCCACUUCAAGAGCCCCUAUCGA